rnacentral:tRNA from 2 species
GCGAGUGUAGCUCAAUGGUAGAGCCCCAGCCUUCCAAGCUGGCCAUGCCGGUUCGAUCCCGGUCACCCGCUCCA